UGUCUCUUAUAUAUGAAGCGAUGCUGCU
rnacentral:piRNA from 2 species